rnacentral:rRNA from 1 species
CCUACGGGAGGCAGCAGUGAGGAAUAUUGGUCAAUGGACGCAAGUCUGAACCAGCCAUGCCGCGUGCAGGAAGACGGCUCUAUGAGUUGUAAACUGCUUUUGUACGAGGGUAAACGCAGAUACGUGUAUCUGUCUGAAAGUAUCGUACGAAUAAGGAUCGGCUAACUCCGUGCCAGCAGCCGCGGUAAUACGGAGGAUUCAAGCGUUAUCCGGAUUUAUUGGGUUUAAAGGUUGCGUAGGCGGUCGGAUAAGUUAGAGGUGAAAUCCCGAGGCUCAACUUCGGACUUGCCUCUGAUACUGUUCGGCUAGAGAGUAGUUGCGGUAGGCGGAAUGUAUGGUGUAGCGGUGAAAUGCUUAGAGAUCAUACAGAACACCGAUUGCGAAGGCAGCAUACCGGGCUACUUCUGACGUUGAGGCACGAAAGCGUGGGGAGCAAACAGGAUUAGAUACCCUAGUAGUC